UGCUGGGCUGGCACGGUACCCAAAAAACAAGAAGAAUUCUCCGAAAAUCGACUAAUCAGACGGCGAAUUGGCCGACUUGGACCAGUGGUGGUGGUAAAUCAAAUCGCAAAUAAGACAUGGCGGCGCGUGUUUGCCGCCUUUAGUGGUUCGGGUACUGGCUUUGUCGUGCGUACCAUCAAGUUGCGCCUGGUCAAGUUACUGUUUUUUCCUUCGCCUCCAUACUCUCUAUAGAUGUGUGCAACAGGUACCAGUGCGAAAACGGUGAUAGGGCGCUCUCUCUCUAGAGUUACCGUGUGGUACUUAAAAAGACGCUGGUUGCACCAUAAGGACACGUUUCACGAACCUUAUCAUAAAUUCGUACAAGGGCCGCUCAACUAUGAAUCCUAGCACUGGAAUCAUCUUAGUCUUGUGUAUUGCCCUCACUUUGGCCUCCAGCAUAGAUGCCAUGUCAAUAACAGAACGUUGGAUAUGUACCUCGUGUGUGACGCAACAGGAAUGCGACCAGGAUCCCCCUAGCGUGUGCAUUUGGGGUGAGGCAAGAAACAAUUGCGGUCGAAGAAUCUGCGCCAAAGGACCAGGCGAAAGAUGCGGGGGAUCACUGGACAUCCUCGGUAUUUGUGGGGAGGGGAUGAUGUGUAAGUCGGACGAGAGGUGCCACGGAUGUUCCAUGCAAACUUUGGAAUGUUCCCACAACUAAAUCAGUAUUACCAGUAGUGGCGUAACUGCUUUUGAUCUAAUGCUGUGAUCACCGUUUUCGUUUCUCAUUACCGAUAAACUGCCCCCACCCUCCAAGUGAUACCAAAAACAGACUUCUAGAACAUUUAGUUGUAUAGUUUUAGUUUGUUUGACCAGAUUUGGUUAAAUUUGAUUUCGUGAAGAUAUUUUUUUAUAUCGCGGGUUUUAUUGUGAUUUUAGGUUAGGAUGUUGUUGUAUUUCGUCGGUUUGAAACGUCCCUGUAUAUUUUUAGUUUACACUCAUGCCACUAGAGGGGCAAGCCAACUUAUACACGACGGGUUGUACAAUGGGCGCCAUUUAUCGGCCCAUUUAUGAAACAGCAAAUGCUAACUCAAAAAACCGUUGUGACAAGCUGGUUUGGCCCAUGUUGAACUUAAUUUAUUUAUUUAUGAAUGAUUGUUGAUAGCAAAUUCACAUCAAAUCAUGACACAACCCUCGGCGCAAGCAACUCUUCGCCACUUGUGUUAUCGAUAUUAGAAGCCCUAUUGGACCUUGAUCUGUAACUGAUAAGUACCUGUUAGUGGACUUUCAUUAUUUAUAAAUAAUAUAGAUAAGUACGGGCAUGUUAAUAGUACAAAAUUAGGGGACUUUUUAAGAGAUUCAUCGUUAUUUUAUAGUUAGGCUCUCAAUUGGGCGCAUUACUUGUAGGCAUUUUUCGUUGCGAGUUACGCUACUGAACUCAACAUGAUGUGAUUGUAGAACCACUGCUCGAUUUCAGGAAUAUUGUACAGGGCUGUUUCGUGUAGUAUUUGAUACAGGUUUUAAAUGUAAUCAGCCUUGUGCAAACUCAACGUUAUUUAUUACGGAACGAUAUUUAUUUUCUUCGUCUAUGCCGGUAUACCAUGGAUAGGUGGUAACAUUGCCAUAAAUAUAACAAGCAAAUUUCUA
rnacentral:lncRNA from 1 species